rnacentral:rRNA from 1 species
GACGAACGCUGGCGGCGUGCUUAACACAUGCAAGUCGAACGGAAAGGCCCUGCUUUUGUGGGGUGCUCGAGUGGCGAACGGGUGAGUAACACGUGAGUAACCUGCCCUUGACUUUGGGAUAACUUCAGGAAACUGGGGCUAAUACCGGAUAGGAUCUCCUGCUGCAUGGUGGGGGUUGGAAAGUUUCGGCGGUUGGGGAUGGACUCGCGGCUUAUCAGCUUGUUGGUGGGGUAGUGGCUUACCAAGGCUUUGACGGGUAGCCGGCCUGAGAGGGUGACCGGCCACAAUGGGACUGAGAGACGGACCAGAAUGGUACGGGAGGCAGCAGGGGGGAAUAUUGCGCAAUGGGGGGGAGCCUGAUGCAGCAACGCCGCGUGCGGGAUGACGGCCUUCGGGUUGUAAACCGAUUUCGCCUGUGACGAAGCGUGAGUGACGGUAAUGGGUAAAGAAGCACCGGCUAACUACGUG